CUGACCAAUGCGGUAGCAAUUAUUGAAAAGAAUAUUCGAUAAAACUAUCUCCAAGCAAAAUUUCUUAAUGACACUUAUUACCUUAAUACCUAGUGAAAAAUGAACUACAUAAAUGCUUCAGAGAUAGAAACUAUAUAACUCCUCUAUGAAGAAGUUCUAUUUUCAGCAGAGUACCUCGAAAAAAUGAGGUAUCUAGUUAUAUCUGUAAUAAUAUGUGUAUUAAUCUUUAACAACGUGGGCGCCAAGAAGAAAAAAAGGAAAGAAGUCGAAUGUUCACAGUGUGAAACAGCAUCUGAAUCUGAUGCGUGUAGAACAGGGGGCGUAUCCAAAACGUGCAUAGGAAAGUAUUGUUUUUAUUAUACGUAUGACGAAAAAUUUAAUAAUGCUUUCGGAAAAACGAGGACUAAAUAUUGGUGGAUGAGAGGCUGCACCACGAAAAAGAAGACCUGCCAGAAACAAGGCGUACGAAAUUGUAAAAUUUGUAAUGAAACACUCUGUAACACUGAACCUCUUCCUACGUUGAUCACACCUCUCUUAAAAGAAAGCUUCAUAUGAUUCGAUUUUUAGAAGCAGAAGCAAGUGUAAUGUCAUAAUAAUAAAAUGCUGCAAAUUUUAAA